rnacentral:lncRNA from 1 species
GAGGAGAUUUAAGGAGUGGAGAUGCUUUUGCAAAGACAUACAGAAAAAAAAAAAGAAAAAAUCUCCUGAAUGAUUCUGCCCUACAUAUGCCUAGUACACAGAUAGAAAACAAAUGAACAUUGCAAAGAAGAGUCUGUGAGAUGACAUGACCUUACAAAGACAGCUCUCUCCUGCAGCUGACCAUAUGUAGACUUCAGGCAAGUUCACUUGGAGAACACCCACUAAAUCGCUAAAUCACUACACAAUCAUAAUCUGACAGAGGGAAGACCUAGAGACUAGUGGACAGCAGUGCAAGUGGGAAUCCAAAUCGAGAAUUGCAAGGGAGACCAGAGCUCUUCAUUCUCAAGGGAACCUCUGAACUGUUACACUGAAAAUCCCAGGCUGUGCUUUGCUCCAUGAGGCUCUUCCUCUGUACAAAGAACUGUCAAAACCUUGCUCUAGUCUACACCCACGAAUGGUGGAACCCAGCUGCAGUUCCAGACACAUGCAUUCCUGCUCCUGUGCCAGAAAUUCCUGCUUCCUGUGCUCAUCACCAACCCUGCAGCCGAAGCCACAGCUCCUAUUCAGGACCCAUCCUCCCAUACUCCAGAAUAAUACCUGCGAGUGAAAGAUCUCUCCCAAGGGGUCUCCGGGAGGGAGUCCUGUUGGACUCAGGCCCCAUUUAUGGAUCUCCCUGGAGCUCCCGGUUCUCUGCUCUGCAUUGUGGCUGUGAGGGUGAGGUGCAGAUGACUGAAAGGAGAACUCUAUUUCCAACACGAAGACCAGGCUUUGGGAAGGGCUAUAGGGAGGCUUCCCUGCAGCCCCACCGAUCCCCCACGUGA